GACGUAGGAGGCGAGCGUUGUCCGGAUUCAUUGGGCGUAAAGAGCACGCAGGCGGUUUGGCAAGUCGGAUGUGAAAACCCGAAGCUCAACUUCGCGCGUGCAUCCGAAACUGCCCGACUAGAGGUAGGUAGGGGAGAUCGGAAUUCCUGGUGUAGCGGUGAAAUGCGCAGAUAUCAGGAGGAACACCGGUGGCGAAGGCGGAUCUCUGGGCCUUACCUGACGCUCAGGUGCGAAAGCUAGGGGAGCGAACAGG
rnacentral:rRNA from 1 species